CGGGACGGGUGAGUAACGCGUAGAUAAUCUACCUUAAAGACUGGGACAACAGUUGGAAACGACUGCUAAUACCGGAUAAGCUAAACGGAAGGCAUCUUCUGUUUAGGAAAGGAGGCCUCUUAACAAUGCUCCCGCUUUUAGAUGAGUCUGCGUCUGAUUAGCUAGUUGGUGGGGUAACGGCUUACCAAGGCGACGAUCAGUAGUCGGCCUGAGAGGGUGACCGGCCACAUUGGGACUGAGACACGGCCCAAACUCCUACGGGAGGCAGCAG
rnacentral:rRNA from 1 species